GCCCGGGUGGUGAAAUCGGUAGACACAAGGGAUUUAAAAUCCCUCGGCCUUAAGGCUGUGCGGGUUCAAGUCCCGCCCCGGGCACCA
rnacentral:tRNA from 1 species